rnacentral:rRNA from 1 species
CCUACGGGGAGCAGCAGUGAGGAAUAUUGGUCAAUGGACGAGAGUCUGAACCAGCCAAGUAGCGUGAAGGAUGACUGCCCUAUGGGUUGUAAACUUCUUUUAUAUGGGAAUAAAAUGUUCCACGUGUGGGAUUUUGUAUGUAACAUAUGAAUAAGGAUCGGCAAACUCCGUGCCAGCAGCCGCGGUAAUACGGAUGCUCCGAGCGUUAUCCGGAUUUAUUGGGUUUAAAGGGAGCGUAGGUGGAUUGUUAAGUCAAUUGUGAAAGUUUGCGGCUCAACCGUAAAAUUGCAGUUGAAACUGGCAGUCUUGAGUACCGUAGAGGUGGGCGGAAUUCGUGGUGUAGCGGUGAAAUGCUUAUAUAUCACGAAGAACUCCGAUUGCGAAGGCAGUUCACUGGACUGCAACUGACACUGAGGCUCGAAAGUGUGGGUAUCAAACAGGAUUAGAUACCCCUGUAGUC